AUACAUUAGAGUUGUUCAUUUCAAAACAUUUCAAAUUCACCCGCUUCCCUGCUCCUCUCUGGCGAAUCCAGAUCUGCUCUCUGGGCGAAUCCAGAUCUGGAUUUAGGGUUUUUCUCCAAGAAGAUCUAGCCUUUCUCAUUAACACCAGAUCGAUAAAGAAAUGUCAAUGCAUUAUCCAUUCAGAUCUAGCCUUUCACCGGAGAGUCGGAGACCCCAAUUGCAGCCACUACCGUCGUUCACAACCACCACCACCGCUCGCAACAACCACCACCAUGGAUGUUUGGCUACCAGAUAGUGGUUGUUGAUGGCUGCAGACAUGGUGGCGAUACGCGGUUUGCUGGAGCUCCAACAUGAAACGAGCUUAAUCUGUGAACCAUCUGGCUAGCCUUUAUGAGUUCUUAGUAUUUUUUUUUUUUUAUAAAUUCUUGUUGAUUAUUAGUUUUUACUAUAACAAACUUCAUGUAAUAAUGGGAUUGGAUUUUGUUUACGUUACAAAACUGGUGUUGAAUCUGAGAAUUUGAAAUUACUGUAUGUGGAUUCUAGAAAGUCAAAUGUUGACUCUAUUUGGAAUUAAGUUUACAGGAUAUUCGUGGAAAUGAGGUGCCUUUGAGCUUUUACAAGAGGAAGGCUGUGUUAAUUGGUAAUGUUGCGUCACUCCAAAUGAACGACAUCACAUAGAAACCUGAGUUCAUACAGGGUUUUGGCAAAGUUCUGGCUAGCUCCGGUGACCUGUUCUCAUCUUGCUUGUGACAUCUUUGUGUAGAUCGGCCACCCUAAGACCUCUAUAGCUGGUCUAAUUUUAGAUUUUGCUCUGUGUAAUCUCAAGUUGUUUGGUUCCAUACUUUUCAUUCUGAAACCGGUUCUGUCAUGAUAAUACCCAUAAUUAAACUCCCAUUAAAAGGGUUAUUUGUUAUUUUUUUUUGUAUAGUUUGAUUGUUAUGAAUUAGGUUGAGUUAAUUAACGUUUUUUUGUUAGUUGAAGUAUGGAGGAACCAGCCAUUGCCGCUGAUGACGGACAAGAAGCCGCCCCUCCGUAUCUUUCAUGACAACUUCAUCAGGUAACCAGUAACCGAUUAGUUAGAAAUCUGUUGUGUUAUAGUUGUGUUAUCGGUGGUAAGAUUUGGUUAAUGAUUGGUAGUGUAAGUUGGUUUGACCUUAUACAGGGUACAUUUAUCCAUUUAUUAUUAUUUUUGCUAACUCAUCACUGCACUAAUACUUACAUUUUGAGCAAUCCCGGGACCAUAAAAGUAUGUUAUAGAAAUAGCUUGAAAAGAAACGGGUCAACUUGGCUUUUAGUCUUUGGUACCCACCGUUUCAUAGAUGGAUAAAUGUACCCUCAAACAUUAUCAUUUGUGUUAAUGAAGUUUUAUGUAUUUUUCGUACCCACUUCUUACAAAUCUGUGUUCCGACCCAUCUUUCUUGCUGUUGUUUUGGCUGUGAUGUUGGUGGUUGUGUUGUUGCCAGUAGUAAUGAAAAGAUAGGCUUUUUUAUGUUCGUGGUGAAAAGUAUAGACUGUAUGUUUGUUGAUUUAUUUGGGAUUUGAAGCGUUAUCCGGCGAUGAUGGUGGCUUGCUACUUGGCGUGGCAACUCUGUUUGUAGCCUUAGCGGCACUGAGCCAUGUUUACAGACUGUAUGUUCCUUUGUUGGAAUGUUAAUUUCAUCCGAUAGAAAACUGGUCAUAAAACAGGAAGUUGGUGAUGAACACCAGGUAACUUUUCGUCAAUUAUGUAUUCAUUUCAAAUUAAUGAUAUUGUGUUUUGUUCUUUCCGACAGUGCUUAUGUACCCGGGCGGCUUUCAAAGGUAUCCUUGGAGAAAUUUUGUGAAAGUUAGCCGUGCUCUUAGACAUUGCUCUAAUACAGCAUUGGCAUAGGAAUAUGGUAACUGUUGAGUUCACUAACUAUGAUAUUAAGUGAGCCCUUACUCAGAGGGAUCAAGAUCUACGGAUGUAGUCGCUACGCAUGAAAGUACGAAAAGGCGACGUGUGUCUAGACAUGCAGGUGAAAGCUCAUCGUCAGCCGCAGCGGCGCAGCGAGCGCAGCCGACGAGCAAUUGCAGCCAACAGGAACCCUUCAGCAGCCCGUUUUAUGGCCAAUCAACCAGCCAUGGGUUUGCAACUUGCACUGCUAGGUCGAGAUGCAUCAACAGCAGAGCAAGAAACUGUCAUGAUUGACGAAUUUGUAACAGACAUCAGGGAGUUCUCAACUUCUGUUUCAGGGCGUAACUCCCCUGCUGCCAUAAUAAUGUUUGCUGCAAGUCUUUUCUCAUGUUCUUUUGUGCAUAUAUUACCAACAAUAUCAUAUUUUUGUUGCAUUUGUAAUGCACAUUAAGUUUGUUUACAGGACAUCUAUGCAUGCAUGAUAGCUGUUAUGGAAAAAAAUAGCUGAAGGUGGUAUUUUUGCUGCUGUUGCCUUGGUCUUUGCGGUGGACAGUAAUAAACCUCUUGGUAUAGGAGAAACUCAAUUUCAUGCUAUAUUAUCAGUGGAUUGUCGCCAGUAGGCCCCACGUACAAGGCAACAUACAAGUAACACGUUUGGCAUUAAUGGAGGCUCAUCAACAUUUUAGUUAUAGAAAUGGCUUUCUUGAUACAUGCGCAUAUGACAUCCAUUUUCUGCAAGUGUUCACAGUACCAAACCAUAUUGGCCAGUCGGAGCGGAAACUAGCUACACAAGCGGCCCAGUCAAGCUAUCUUGAACCGCCUUCAUUUGGGCCGGCGGGUUCUGUGCUGGUAGUUGAACUGGCGAACCGGAUUGAUGGUUGGACUAGAUUUUCAAAGCCUUUUUAAUUUAUUUUAAUGUAUUUUCUUUUCUAAAAUAGUAAAAUCUCAUCUACUAAUUCAUUUAUGGCCUCUAUGUUUUGCUUAUUCUAAGCUCAUUUUUGUUAGCAUUGCAAAUAGGAAAGGAUAAAUCACUUUCGUAGUUUUUUUUGUUAGUUGUAUAUAAAAUUUAUAAUUUUUAAAUUA